UACGUAGGGUGCGAGCGUUGUCCGGAAUUAUUGGGCGUAAAGGGCUCGUAGGCGGUUUGUCGCGUCGGGAGUGAAAACCCAGGGCUUAACUCUGGGCUGGCUUCCGAUACGGGCAGACUAGAGUAUGGCAGGGGAGACUGGAAUUCCUGGUGUAGCGGUGAAAUGCGCAGAUAUCAGGAGGAACACCGGUGGCGAAGGCGGGUCUCUGGGCCAUUACUGACGCUGGAGGAGCGAAAGCGUGGGGAGCAAACAGG
rnacentral:rRNA from 1 species